rnacentral:rRNA from 1 species
ACGGGAGGCAGCAGUGGGGAAUAUUGGACAAUGGGGGAAACUCUGAUCCAGCGACGCCGCGUGAGUGAAGAAGUAUUUCGGUAUGUAAAGCUCUAUCAGCAAGGAAGAAAAUGACGGUACUUGACUAAGAAGCCCCGGCUAACUACGUGCCAGCAGCCGCGGUAAUACGUAGGGGGCAAGCGUUAUCCGGAUUUACUGGGUGUAAAGGGAGCGUAGACGGCAUAGCAAGUCUGAAGUGAAAUGCAUGGGCUCAACCCAUGAACUGCUUUGGAAACUGUUAAGCUAGAGUGCAGGAGAGGUAAGUGGAAUUCCUAGUGUAGCGGUGAAAUGCGUAGAUAUUAGGAGGAACACCAGUGGCGAAGGCGGCUUACUGGACUGUAACUGACGUUGAGGCUCGAAAGCGUGGGGAGCAAACAGGAUUAGAUACCCUGGUA